ACUUAUCACACUUUCCUGACUCAGAGUCAGCACUGUUUCUUAGGGUGUGAAAACAAACAGCCUCCCAACCACAUAGAGAAUAGACAACAGACUAAAGAAAGGAAACCACCAAAGUCCAACUUGGUGAAACAACGAGUUUUAUCAUUGUUACUUCUAGGAAUAUGGGUGAGAGAUUACUUUCAGGAGCAGGAAUGGCUUGAAGACAGCUGCAUCACCAAAAGUUCAUCAUAGUUUUCUCAUGAAAGCUGGAAACUUGGAGCUCACUAUACAGCCAGCAGGCAGCUUGACAGGUUGUCUCUGGCCUGAAACUCACCAUGGUUACCUUUAUCCAACCUUGAAGAGAGAGCUUUUGGAUCUUAGGUUUAUGAAAAAAGAGGAAAAUCAGGUGGACUUUGAGGUUUCAAACAAUCAAGCCAAUGUUGCUUGGCCAAGAGAGCCCAAUGUUGCUCUCUUCCUGAUGCUUGCUGAUCUGGAUGUAGAACGCUCAGCUCCUCCAGCACCAUGUCUGCCUGUGUGCUGCCAUGCUUCCUGCCAUGAUGAUAAUAGACUAAACUUCU
rnacentral:lncRNA from 1 species